rnacentral:rRNA from 1 species
AUUGAACGCUGGCGGCAUGCCUUACACAUGCAAGUCGAACGGCAGCACGGGAGCAAUCCUGGUGGCGAGUGGCGAACGGGUGAGUAAUAUAUCGGAACGUGCCCAGUAGUGGGGGAUAGCCCGGCGAAAGCCGGAUUAAUACCGCAUACGACCUGAGGGUGAAAGCGGGGGAUCGCAAGACCUCGCGCUAUUGGAGCGGCCGAUAUCAGAUUAGCUAGUUGGUGGGGUAAAGGCCUACCAAGGCUACGAUCUGUAGUUGGUCUGAGAGGACGACCAGCCACACUGGGACUGAGACACGGCCCAGACUCCUACGGGAGGCAGCAGUGGGGAAUUUUGGACAAUGGGCGCAAGCCUGAUCCAGCAAUGCCGCGUGCAGGAAGAAGGCCUCGGUUGUAACUAGCUUUGUCUAGGGAAGAAAGUACUUCUGGGCUAAUACCCCGGGACGGAUGACGGUACCUGAAGAAUAAGCACCGGCUAACUACGUAGCCAGCGCCGCGGU